rnacentral:misc_RNA from 1 species
GUCCCAACAAACAACAAAUUCAAUAUUAUAUUUAACCAAGAGUCAAAGAUGAUAGAAAAGCCAAACAAGAUCCAUAUUUACGCAAAUCAUUUUCAAGCUUUAGAUCAGCAGAAAUAAUAUGUAAUGAGAUUGGAUGGAGCUUCUGGCUACCAAAGACAUAGGGAAGGGAAUGAACAUUUUGGUUCAUAAAAAGGUACUUGAGGCAUCUUCUACUCCAUAGCUGCAUCAACUCCAAUUGAAGCAUCGCCAAUUAUGGAUCCCAGUUCCCUAGAGAGUGCUUCUUCCCUAGGCACCACCUGCAUAGGCGUCAAACCAGGUACAAGAACACGACCAUCUUCAUAACCGAACCUGUUUUCUUCAUCCUCAACAGUCAUGGGGUUCUUGACAGUUAGUGCCCUAGCAUUGUUUUUCUUCAUUGGGUCCUCUUUUAUGUCUCCCACAGAUUCUUCUGACUUGAGGCUCUCGUUUGAAGUAUUUAGAUGUCCCUCUACUGGAUAGGUUGUACCUUCUCUGGUGAAGAAGUCACUGCUAACGUUCAGUUUGUCUUCUGCAUAGGCAAUGUUACCUGAAAACAUUAAGCCAUUGUUUAUAUUAGGCAUGAGUUCCUCCAUUUGAUGAAGCUCCUCUGUAAUUUUCUGAGCUUCAGGAUUUUCCCAAUCUUCUGCAAUAAUAACAGUGCCCUUGCUUUCCCAGCUCUUGAAAAUUCUGUCUGGGCCAGGCUGCCAAAACAUAUCUCCAUUGCUUUGCUUGAGGAUGAACUUGAAUUGGAUAGUGGACUCAAUAGGUACAUCCAAUUCAACACUCCAAAUGUGCCCAUCUGACCAGUUCAUUGGUACAGCAUUUGUAGGAUUCCACAAACCAAGAAUUGGGUCAUCACCCACCAGAAGAAACUGAUCACCGAACAUGCAUUCCUUCUGCAACUGGAAUUUCACAUGUGCAGUCUUUGGUCUUU